rnacentral:rRNA from 1 species
AGCGAACGCUAGCGGCGGGCCUAACACAUGCAAGUCGAGCGGGAGAACUUCGGUUCUUAGCGGCGGGACGGGUGAGUAACGCGUAGGUAAUGUGCCUUCUGGUGGGGGAACAACCGUGCGAAAGCAUGGCUAAUACCGCAUAUGUCGAGAGAUGAAAGCCCUCGGGCGCCAGUAGAGCAGCCUGCGUCCCAUUAUUUAGUCCUAGUUGGUGAGGUAACGGCUCACCAAGGGUACGAUGGGUAGCUGGUCUGAGAGGAUGAUCAGCCACACUGGAACUGAGACACGGUCCAGACUCCUACGGGAGGCAGCAGUGGGGAAUAUUGCGCAAUGGGCGAAAGCCUGACGCAGCCACGCCGCGUGAGUGAUGAAGGCCUUCGGGUUGUAAAGCUCUGUCGGGAGGGAAGAAGGCGCAAGCCUGACGGUACCUCGCAAGAAG